rnacentral:rRNA from 1 species
UAGGGAAUAUUGGUAAUCUGGGCAACCGGGAACCAGCAACGCCGCGUGCGCGAUGAAGGCCUUCGGGUUGUAAAGCGCUUUUUAAAGGGAUGAGGAAGGACAGUACCUUUAGAAUAAGCCUCGGCUAACUACGUGCCAGCAGCCGCGGUAAAACGUAGGAGGCGAGCGUUAUCCGGAUUUACUGGGAGUAAAGCGUGUGCAGGCGGUUUGAUAAGUUGGAUGUGAAAGCUCCUGGCUUAACCGGGAGAGGUCGUACAAAACUAUCAGAAAUGAGUGAGGUAGGGGGUGGGCGAAUGCCGCGUGUGGUGGUGACAAGCGUAGAUAUGCG